rnacentral:rRNA from 1 species
CAAUAGCGUAUAUUAAAGUUGUUGCAGUUAAAAAGCUCGUAGUUGGAUUUCGGGUCGACGCGCGCGGUCCGCCGCAAGGCUGGUACUUCGCCGUCGUCCUUCUUCCCGGCGGCCCCGUCUGCUCUUCAUUGCAGUGGACCGGGGACCUCGGGACGUUUACUGUGAAAAAUUAGAGUGUUCAAAGCAGGCAGCCGCUUGAAUACAUUAGCAUGGAAUAAUGGAAGAGGACUUGGGUCCAAUUUUGUUGGUUUCUCGGGACCGAAGUAAUGAUCAAUAGGGACAGUCGGGGGCAUUCGUAUUCAAUUGUCAGAGGUGAAAUUCUUGGAUUUAUGGAAGACGAACAAGUGCGAAAGCAUUUGCCAAGGAUGUUUUCAUUAAUCAAGAACGAAAGUUAGGGGUUCGAAGAUGAUCAGAUACCGU